GGGUUAGCUAGGGGGUGGGGUAACGGUCACCUAGGCUACAAUCCCUAGCUGGUCUGAGAGGAUGACCGCCACCUGGAACUGAGACACGGUCCAACUCCUACGGGAGGCAGCUAGGGGAAUAUUGCACAAUGGGCGCAAGCCUGAUGCCCAUGCCGCGUGUAUGAAGAAGGCCUUCGGGUUGUAAAGUACUUUCAGCGAGGAGGAAGGUGUUGUGGUUAAUAACGCACAAUUGACGUUACUCGCAGAAUAAGCACCGGCUAACUCCGUGCCACAGCCGCGGUAAUACGGAGGGGCAAGCGUUAAUCGGAAUUACUGGGCGUAGCGCACGCAGGCGGUCUGUCAAGUCUGAUGUGAAAUCCCCGGGCUCACCUGGGAACUGCAUCCGAAACUGGCAGGCUAGAGUCUUGUAGAGGGGGGUAGAAUUCCAGGUGUACGGGAAAUGCGUAAAGAUCUGGAGAUACCGGUGGCAAGGCGGCCCCCUGGACAGACUGACGCUCGUGCGAAAGCGUGGGGAGCAAACAGGAUUAGAUACCCUGUAUCCGCGCCGCGAACGAUGUCGACUUGGAGGUUGUGCCCUUGAGGCGUGGCUUCCGGAGCUAACGCGUUAAGUCGACCGCCUGGGGAGUACGGCCGCAAGGUUAAAACUCAAAUGAAUUGACGGGGGCCCGCACAAGCGGUGGAGCAUGUGGUUUAAUUCGAUGCAACGCGAAGAACCUUACCUACUCUUGACAUCCAGAGAACUUAGCAGAGAUGCUUUGGUGCCUUCGGGAACUCUGAGACAGGUGCUGCAUGGCUGUCGUCAGCUCGUGUUGUGAAAUGUUGGGUUAAGUCCCGCAACGAGCGCAACCCUUAUCCUUUGUUGCCAGCGGUUAGGCCGGGAACUCAAAGGAGACUGCCAGUGAUAAACUGGAGGAAGGUGGGGAUGACGUCAAGUCAUCAUGGCCCUUACGAGUAGGGCUACACACCUGCUACAAUGGCAUAUACAAAGAGAAGCGACCUCGCGAGAGCAAGCGGACCUCAUAAAGUAUGUCGUAGUCCGGAUUAGGUCUGCAACUC
rnacentral:rRNA from 1 species